GACGAACGCUGGCGGCGUGCUUAACACAUGCAAGUCGAACGGAAAGGCCCCUGUUUGGUUACUCGAUUGGCGAACGGAUGGGUAACACGUGAGUAACCUGCCCUUGACUUCGUUAGAACUUCAGGAAGCUGGGGCUAAUUCCUACUAGGAAUCCUUACUUCAUGGUUGGUGUUGUGAAGCUUCGUCGGUUUUGGGUGUGCUCGCGGCGUAUCAGCUUGUUGGUGGGGUAGUGGCUUACCAAGGAUUUUAGGGGUAUCCGGCCGGCGAGGGCGACCGGCCAGAUUGGGACUGAGAGACGGCCGAGACUGAUACGGGAGGCAGCAGGGGGGAAUAUUGAACAAUGGGUGGAAGCAUGAUGCAGGCACGCCGCGGGCGGGAGGAAGGCCUUCGUGCUGUAAAUAGCUUUCAGUAGGGGAGAAGGUUGUGGUGACGGUACUUGCAGAAGAAGCACCGGCUAACUACGUG
rnacentral:rRNA from 1 species